AGUCGACCCCUAAGGCGAGGCCGUAAGGCGUAGUCGAUGGGAAAUCGGUUAAUAUUCCGAUACUUGUUUAUAAUGCGAUGGAGGGACGGAGUAGGUUAUGUCAGCCUGGCGUUGGUUGUCCAGGUGAAAGGAUGUAGGCUUACAGUUUAGGCAAAUCCGGACUGUAAUACGGCUGAGAUCUGAUAGCAAGCGGUACUUGUACCGCGAAGUGGCAAAUACCAUGCUUCCAGGAAAAGCUUCUAAGCAAUAGUUAUAAACGAAUCGUACCCUAAACCGACACAGGUGAUCAGGUAGAGAAUACCAAGGCGCUUGAGAGAACUCUGCUGAAGGAACUAGGCAAAAUGGUACCGUAACUUCGGGAGAAGGUACGCUGCCGAUGGUGAU
rnacentral:rRNA from 1 species